rnacentral:rRNA from 1 species
AUGCAAGUGCAGGCGAACGCUACCAUACGGUUUUGUCUUGCGGAUCAGGUCAUGUAUCAUGUCAUGGACGAAGAUUAUCCUAAGGGAAUUUGGGACUUGGCAAAUCGUUAUAUGUCCAAGCCAGCGACCAAUAAGUUGUAUUUGAAGCAAAAGUUCUAUGGGCUAAAGAUGCAGGAGGGGUCGGAUCUUGUGGAGCAUGUGAAUGCCUUUAAUCAGUUGGUCACAGAUCUAGCGCGUCUGGAUGUGAAGAUUGAGGACGAGGAUAAGGCGCUACUUUUUCUUGUUUUGUUGCCACCGUCCUAUGAGCAUUUGGUCAUUACAUUGACACAUGGAAAGACAACCGUCAAUAAUGAGGAAGUCACUGCAGCGUUGCUUGGGCAUGAGUUGAGGAAGCAAAAGAAUACUACAGAGGAGAGUACUCAAGGUUUGGGGUUGGCAGUUAAAGGUUAUCAGGAAGGGACAAGAGGCGGAGAAGAAAAAGAAGAAAAAGGUGCAGUGCUACAGGUGCAAGGAUUGGGGACAUAUAAAGAGGAAAUGCCCAAAACUGAAGGGUGGGGCAAGUGCUAA